rnacentral:rRNA from 1 species
GAUGAACGCUGGCGGCAUGCCUAACACAUGCAAGUCGAACGAGACCUUCGGGUCUAGUGGCGCACGGGUGCGUAACACGUGAGUAACCUGCCCCAGACUCUGGGAUAACAUCGGGAAACCGGUGCUAAUACCGGAUAUGAGACGAGAUUGCAUGAUCAUCGUCUGGAAAGAUUUAUCGGUCUGGGAUGGACUCGCGGCCUAUCAGCUAGUUGGUGAGGUAAUGGCUCACCAAGGCGACGACGGGUAGCCGGCCUGAGAGGGCGACCGGCCACACUGGAACUGAGACACGGUCCAGACUCCUACGGGAGGCAGCAGUGGGGAAUAUUGCACAAUGGGCGCAAGCCUGAUGCAGCAACGCCGCGUGGGGGAUGAAGGCCUUCGGGUUGUAAACCCCUUUUAGCAGGGAAGAAGCGAAAGUGACGGUACCUGCAGAAAAAGCGCCGGCUAACUACGUG